ACACGACUACAUUAGAUACCCGUGUAGUCCUAGCCGUAAACGAUACUCGCUAGGUGUCGGCCACGGUGCGACCGUUGUCGGUGCCGUAGGGAAGCCGUGAAGCGAGCCACCUGGGAAGUACGGCCGCAAGGCUGAAACUUAAAGGAAUUGGCGGGGGAGCACAACAACGGGUGGAGCUUGCGGUUUAAUUGGAUUCAACGCCGGAAAUCUUACCGGGACCGACAGCAACAUGAAGGCCAAGCUGAAGACUUUGCCGGAUCAGCUG
rnacentral:rRNA from 1 species